rnacentral:rRNA from 1 species
UACGUAGGGUGCGAGCGUUAAUCGGAAUUACUGGGCGUAAAGCGUGCGCAGGCGGUUUUGUAAGCCGGAUGUGAAAUCCCCGGGCUUAACCUGGGAAUGGCAUUCGGGACUGCAAGGCUGGAGUGCGGCAGAGGGGGGUGGAAUUCCACGUGUAGCAGUGAAAUGCGUAGAGAUGUGGAGGAACACCGAUGGCGAAGGCAGCCCCCUGGGCUAACACUGACGCUCAUGCACGAAAGCGUGGGGAGCAAACAGG